CACGGGGGGAGCAAGCGUUGUUCGGAAUCACUGGGCGUAAAGGGCGUGUAGGCGGUCAAGUAAGUGGAAUGUGAAAGCCCCCGGCUCACCCGGGGAUCUGCAUCCCAAACUGCUUGGCUUGAGUACGGGAGAGGAUAGGGGAAUUCCUGGUGUAGCGGUGAAAUGCGUAGAUAUCUGGAGGAAUACCGGUGGCGAAGGCGGCAUCCUGGACCGAGAUUGACGCUGAUGAGCGAAAGCUAGGGGAGCAAACGGG
rnacentral:rRNA from 1 species